UUCACUGCUGUGUGUGUGCACUUUGGAUGGGUUAAAUGCAGAGCACGAAUUCUGAGUAUGGGUCACCAUACUUGGCUGUAUGUCACGUCACUUUCAUCUUCUCUUCCAGUCAGGAGCUAUGGAGCAAGGGCGGAGAUGUAAACGCUGGGGGAAAACUGAAGCUGAUGCUUCACUUUAUAGAAAUCAAUGCACUGACAAGUGCUGACGCAAGCCAUGGGGGAGUACACUACCCUUAAAAAUUGAAAGGAUACUAGGAUAUUACCACAACAUUCCUCUUAGGACAUUGCAAACUUUAUUUGUAUUUUUUGUUUUAUGAAUAUGACUUAACCUGAUGCAGGACGCACCAAGUCAUUCAGGCAGUCUCUCUCUCUUGCGCACGCACUUUUGGGCAUGUUUUGUGCCAUUGAUUGUCCUCGUCGUCAAUAAAUAAAACAUUUCUUCAUGCUAGGGUGUCGCUGGUGAAUCCAGUGGAGAGAAAUCCCCUCACAACUAACUGCAAACUGGCAUUCAGAUGGCCUCCAUUUCAUUAGCAACACCCCAACUUCCAACGAUCCAAUCAAUUCCUGUUUGUCAAUUUUGGUCAAUUUAAAUGUUUAUAAAUUCUACAAACACCAGAUAUAUUGUUUCAUGUGCAGGAAUUGGAAAGGUCUCCAGAAGUAGACGGGUCAAAUUCCAUGGGUACUCUGACUGAAAAGGAAUCAGAAAAGUCUCCAGGAAGUAGACAAGACAAAUAGUUUGGACAUUUCAACUGAACAGACCUACAGAACAUGAGGAUGAAAACACUAAAUCAUCAAGUGGAUGGUGUGGGAGCAACAGUGAAGUGUGCUGUUAAUACAGAUGUCCUCAGCAGACACUCAAUCCUUGUGACAGACACUACUUCAUUUAUAGAUUCUGCAAGGAAGAGUUACCCAAACACUGAAAUCAAACAUGGAAUAUGUCCACCAAAUGAUGAAUGAGAUGUUAAAGACUAGAGGUUGGAUGAGAAAUGGGCCAUUGUCACAACUGUUUUUAUUAAAAAAAAUUAAAAAUAUCUUCAUUCGUGUUCAGAAGUUAAACAGUGGAAAACAGUUAAGAAAAGGCUGAGGGGUAUGGUGAAUAUGAACAGAAUACAAAGAUGUUACAAAUGCAGAACUUAAGUUGAAAGGCUUAGUUUUACAUACUUCUAUUUUGACCAAUCAAUAUUGAUUCUUCCAGAUCACCUCCUGAGCCUAAUCACUCAAAAAAUAGUACAGAGAGUGAGACGAAGGCAAUGAGGAGCUCAAUAGCCGCCCUAUGUGAACCGUCUGCCCUGGGGCCAGCGAGUGGAGGAGAUGAGCCUUGAUGUGUGUGGCACUACAGAGGAACUCCUCUCCCUCGAAGAUAAAAGACGACACAUUUAGGAAGAGAGUGGUGUGUUCAGGGCCGGUUCUAGACACUUUGAGGCCCUAAUUGGAGGCCCCCUGGCCUCCUUCCAUCCACAUUUCAAAAUAAAUAAAAAAGCACUUGAAACAAAUAUAAUUUCUAACCCUUUUUUACUUAUACAAAUCCUGUUAUCAAUACUUUUAUAUAUUUACUUAAAUGUGCAUAUUAAUUACAUUUUAAGGUA